CUCUGGAAGAGCAGUCAGUGCUCUUAACUGCUGAGCCAUCUCUCCAGCCUUGGAAUGACUUUUAAAAAUAGAAAGCAAAUGUUGAUGAACAGGGAGAGAAGACUGGGACCCUUGCUUCCUGAUGCUGGCAGUUUAAAGUGGAGCCAUUGCUAUGGGAAACACUGACUGCUCUGCUAACCGGGGUUAGCAAGGGACCAGGUGGUGCCCACUUCUAGAUGCACUCAAACUGAGAGCAAGCACUGAAGUGUGUGCAGCCCCGAGUUCAUAGCAACACCAUCCAUGGGGACGCCAUCCAAGUGUCACGGACAGACAGAUGGGCAAAGAAGAUGUGGCAUAUCCCAACCAUAAUCCAGUAUUCCUUCUGAAAAAGUAAUGAGACUCAGACACGUGCUACAAUCUGUUUUGAUGCAAUCUCUACAAGAGACUCCAGGUACCAUAUGAUAGACAGCCUACCGGGCUCUCUGGAGCUACCAGAUAAAGUCACGUGUCCCAAGAUAUCCGUGAACCAGCUAUGCAGAACGUCCUCGGACUUCAAAUCUUCCUCUGAGUGCUUGGAUUACAAGAGUGUGCCAUCCUGGCUGUUUUGCAGGAAUGGGGCUCUAAGACAGAGCCUUGUGUGCUAAAACCUCAGCCCCUGUUAACAUUUUCCUGACUUGCCUUGGUUUUUACUUAAGUCAUGGAUUUGUUGUUUUAAAGGUUAAUUUUUAAAUUGUGUGCAUAUGUGUCAGGAAAUACACGAAAAUGUGUGCGAAGGUGCUCCGAGUCUAGAAAGGGAUGAUCUAGUCCCCUGGAGCUGGAGUUACAGUUGUGAGUUCCACAGUGUAGGGGCUGGGAGCCCAACUGUGGACCUCUAUAGAGGAGCUGCUCCAUCUCUCUGGCCUUCGAUUUUUUUUUUUUAAGAGAAAAUGGAUGCCGGGUGUGGUGGGUGUACGCCUUUACUCCCAGGCCUCGGGAUGCAGAGGCAAGCAGAUCUCUGAGUGUGAGGCCAGCCUGGUCUACAGAGCAAGUUCCAGAACAU
rnacentral:sRNA from 1 species